ensembl:lncRNA MIR7515HG MIR7515 host gene
AGGCCGGUCCACGCUGGGUGACCCAUGUGACCUGCUGCUUAGCAAUUCCUUGUCACCAUCUUCCCUUCUCAGCCUCUUUUUUCAUGCUAACAGGCAUAAAUGAAAUGAUAAAAGUUUGAGCUCUUCUCGUGGAAUUCUCGUGAUACAGAUAUGUGCUACAUGUUCAUCAUCUCGUUGGUCUUCACCAUGAUAACUGUGGAGUAAGAAUUAUAAGCAGGUCACAGAUUAGGGACUUGAGAUUGACAGUUUGGCUUCCCUGUUCUGGGUGGCAAAGCCUGUGGAGUACUCACCUACCUGCUGCAUGAAGGCAGCAUGGAGGGACUGUGGUGGAUUAUCUGCAAAGAUGGCCAAAAUUCUCUCAUCCCUGCAGGCACAUACAAGGUUGUUGCAUGGCAUAAGUAAAGUGACAGUUAUAGGAUACAUGCAACUUUUCAGUGACAAAGAUCUGUGCAGCAUCGACAGUACUGCCUAAUGAGGUUUCACCAUAAUGAAGUAUCACAACCAGUUUACAGACCAGAAAACUGAGACACAGGAAGGGGUGGUGACUUGAGCAAGGUGCAUCAGCUGCCAGGUUUCCAGAAGUUCCCCAGUCAUUGAGCAUUUCUGAGGCUCUUGAUGCAUAUGCCAAGUAGUUAUGGAGAAAGACACAGCAGCUUACCUCUGCAGGCAUCAUUGUGUGAAAGGAAGACCCAGGCUCUCUCACCACCCUUGAACAGAAGCCUUUUGCUAAGGUGAUAGCUACAUGUCCAAGCCUAUUGCGUGGCAUGCAUUUUGCCUUCUGCAGCCCACUAAAGGAAAUUGAAGUAUACAGAAUGCUUAUUUGGUCUACUCAGUAUCAUCCUAAAUGUAUGUACCAAUGCUUAGGAGUUUGCAGUUCACCCGCAAACCUCAGCGAUCCAAGCUCCCCUGGAUGACCAUCACUCACCAAGAAAAGAGCAAUAACAGGACCUGUUUUGCUAAUCCAGGACUGUUCUCCAGCACUAACUCUAAAUAAUCCCUUCUGCUAGAGUCCACUUUCUGGAACCUGUUGCCUCCGUUUUCAACGUUUCCCAAACUUGGUCCGUUGUGUGAGCUGGCUGAUAAAAGUUCCAGGGAGAAGACAUCUUACUCUUAUUGGAUCAUGCACAGUGCCUGAAGCAUUCUGUUGCAUGUAGAAGUCAGUAAAUUGCAGAUGUAAGAUUCAAAACCAGACUUCACAUCUACCGACUUCAGUGACCCUGAAAUUUGUUCACAGAGAGCAUUUAACAUAACUGUCUUCAUCAUCUCCUUCUCUACAUUAAAAAUUAUGGUUCACAAAGACGUUAUUGGUGAUUCAAUCUUGAGUCAUGAAAAGUCAACCUUGAGCCACAAAAAGUCAACCUUGAGCCAAGCAGAUUGGAGAGUCAUACAUGCCAUUCCUGGGACCAUCAAAAAUGGCAGAGGUCACACAAAAAGGCAAAACUUUUAAGAGGUGUUUUAAACGUCGUAUGGGCCAAAGAGAAGCUGGAUUUCCUAUUGGAGUCACCUGUAACACACGUGUGACGAAAUUGGCCUGUGAGGACAAGGCAGUGAGCAGAGAGGACAGCAGUCCUUAUGAGAUCAAGCUCUAAGGUGAGGUUGCAGGAUCUGAAGGCCAGCUCCCCUGCUUGCUCACUGUAUGACUUUAGGCAAGUCAUUUUACUUCUGAAUGAUUCAUAUUGGAAGUAAAAUAUAUGAUUGGUUAAAA